CAGGCACUGGGUCAGGCGCGCCGCGCCGCGGAGAACUUCCGCUUCUUCGCGGACCUGACCGUCGCCCAGAUCGACGACGCCUAC
rnacentral:tRNA from 1 species